rnacentral:rRNA from 1 species
UACGUAGGUGGCGAGCGUUGUCCGGAAUUACUGGGUGUAAAGCGCGUGUAGGCGGCAGGCCAAGUCGGUGGUGAAAGCGCCCGGCUCAACUGGGCGAGGUCCAUGGAAACUGGUCAGCUGGAGGACGGUAGAGGCGAGUGGAAUUCCCGGUGUAGUGGUGAAAUGCGUAGAGAUCGGGAGGAACACCGGUGGUGUAAACGGCUUUCUGGACCAUAACUGACGCUGAGGCACGAAAGCGUGGGUAGCAAACAGG